ensembl:lncRNA LINC01865 long intergenic non-protein coding RNA 1865
AACCGUUUUCUCUUGUACAGUCAGAGCUGUCAGCCCACACAAAAGAGGAAAGUCUGAGGCUUUAGUUUGAUGAACACAUUUAUAUGAUGGGACGAACAUCAGAGCCCGCAGCUCUCGGCCCUGCUGGUGGCAGAGGCUUUGUACUGUGUGACAAUGACCUGGAUAUGGAAGCAGAAGGGAGCUUCUAAGGACCGGAAGCUGAGAGUCUGUCUCCUGUCCCGGCCCGGACACUGGGGUUCAGCCAAAGCUGCAGCGUUGUGCAAUGGAUUCCAUCAGAGUUUGGCACUUUUUUCUUCAAAGUUACGGUGCAGGUGACUGAGGACAGCUGUUGCGAGCGCUGCUUCUUGGUUCCCCCGGAAUGGGAGGCAUCACGUGCGGCUUCCAGGAGGCCACCUCAGGGAGGAUCGUGUUUCCAUGCACAGCGAAGGAUCUGGGCAGGCUGUGGAAAAAUCAGUUGACACGAGUUAGAUGUGCGACAUGGACUGCUACUGUGCACGCAGAGACGGAGGAGCUCAGAGGAACAGUGCGUUUAUUCUGCAUAAGCAGAGGUCACAGCAGCCGCCUAUGUGGCCUCUUUUAUAACAGCCCUGAAGAGGCCAGGCAUGCUGGCUCGGGCCUGUAAUCCCAGCACUUUGGGAGGCCGAGGUGGGCAGAUCAUCUGAGGUGAGGAGUUCGAGACAAGCCUGGCCAACAUGGUGAAACCCCAUCCCUACUAAAAAUACAAAAAUUAGCUGGGCGUGGUGGCAGACACCUGUAGUUCCAGCUACUCAGGAGGCUGAGGCAGGAGAAUCACUUGAACCUGGGAGGCAGAGGUUGCAGUGAGCCAAGAUCACGCCACUGCACUCCAGCCUGGGGGACAGAGUGAGACUCUGUCUCAAACAAACAAACAAACAACAACAAAAAAAACCAGCCCUGAAGAAAGAAGACUUGGGGUUUACAGAGCAGAGGACUUUCAACGCAAGGAUGCCCUGUGUCAGUGUGCAGAGGCUCAGAAGCACUGCUCUUUUGAAGAAAAGUGUGCUGGACCUUCUCUUGCGUGGUUAGUUGUAAAACUUGAUGCUUCUGCAGGCAGAUGAUGGCAGAAAGCUCCCACCCCACCACGCUGAUGACGGCAGAAAGCUCCCGCCCCACCACGCUGAUGACGGCAGAAAGCUCCCGCCCCACCACGCUGAUGAUGGCACUCUCGUUGGGUGGUUGUGUGGUCUUCAUACAAUUUCAGGACCAAGCACUACAGAUUGAAGCUGGGUGCCUGAUGGACACCUGCUCGUGUGCUUCUCUGUAAGUAUUUGCAUUGUCGCAGCUGCAAGCACCCAUUUCGCUGAGAAUCACUGUUGCCUCCAUGGGGUCCUGUCCUAUGGACGACCCCUGUCUAGUUGGGAACUUGGUGCCAGGAGCUCAACUUGCUCCAAUGCUUCCCAUCCUACUAAGUUCUACGCUGACUACAGUGGUAGGUAACGUCUGUUUUCCUGCAGUGCUUAAAUAUUGUUUCUACCUCCACCUUCGGCAGCUAUGUGGCAGACAUUUAAUCAUUGUUAGGCAAAAAAGACCUAAACGUACUCUGUUAGCUACUGCACCCUGCCUGGAUUCCCCAGGCCACAUGUCUUAGUUAGCCCCACACAGCUUCAGAUAUUGUUAUUGCUUCUAUCCAUUCUGCUAAACUGAGCCAUGGUUAAUAAAAGAUGAGAAUUGGCAAUU